AUGACAAGUUCCAGCUUAUAUUAGAUUAUCAUCACCAUCAGCAACAUACAUGCAACAUAUGUACGGGGGAUAAUAUUUAUGCAACAUUCAACUUACAUAUCCAAGCAAUUAAGGCAUUACACACAACUAGGUCAAGACAUGGGAGUCGAUGCAAAAGUCCAAAGCAAAAUGAAAACAAGUAGACAAAUUUUACUUUACAAACAUUUAACCAAUUCAAAAUUCACAUACAAAAAUCAGAGCCACGGUUGA